rnacentral:rRNA from 1 species
GAUGAACGCUGACAGAAUGCUUAACACAUGCAAGUCUUUGGCGAAUCUGUGCUUGCACAGGCUAGCCAAGGCGGACGGGUGAGUAACGCGUAAGGAACUUGCCCUGCAGACAGGGAUAACAGACGGAAACGACUGAUAACACCUGAUACAGUUGCCGGCACGCAUGUGCCUGGCAAUGAAAAGAGAUGCUGCAGGAGAGCUUUGCGUCCUAUUAGCUUGUUGGUGAGGUGACGGCUCACCAAGGCGAUGAUAGGUAGCCGGCCUGAGAGGGUGAACGGCCACAAGGGGACUGAGAUACGGCCCUUACUCCUACGGGAGGCAGCAGUGGGGAAUAUUGGACAAUGGGGGCAACCCUGAUCCAGCAAUUCUGUGUGCACGAAGAAGGUUUUCGGAUUGUAAAGUGCUUUCAGCAGGGAAGAAGAAAGUGACGGUACCUGCAGAAGAAGCGACGGCUAAAUACGUG